GACGAACGCUGGCGGCGUGCCUAAUACAUGCAAGUCGAACGCUGAAGGAGGAGCUUGCUCUUCUGGAUGAGUUGCGAACGGGUGAGUAACGCGUAGGUAACCUGCCUGGUAGCGGGGGAUAACUAUUGGAAACGAUAGCUAAUACCGCAUAAGAGUAGAUGUUGCAUGACAUUUGCUUAAAAGGUGCAAUUGCAUCACUACCAGAUGGACCUGCGUUGUAUUAGCUAGUUGGUGGGGUAACGGCUCACCAAGGCGACGAUACAUAGCCGACCUGAGAGGGGGAUCGGCCACACUGGGACUGAGACACGGCCCAGACUCCUACGGGAGGCAGCAGUAGGGAAUCUUCGGCAAUGGACGGAAGUCUGACCGAGCAACGCCGCGUGAGUGAAGAAGGUUGUCGGAUCGUAAAGCUCUGUUGUAAGAGAAGAACGAGUGUGAGAGUGGAAAGUUCACACUGUGACGGUAUCUUACCAGAAAGGGACGGCUAACUACGUG
rnacentral:rRNA from 1 species